UACAGAGGUCUCAAGCGUUGUUCGGAUUCAUUGGGCGUAAAGGGUGCGUAGGUGGCGCUGUAAGUCGGGUGUGAAAUUUCGGAGCUUAACUCCGAAACUGCAUUCGAUACUGCGGUGCUUGAGGACUGGAGAGGAGACUGGAAUUCAUGGUGUAGCAGUGAAAUGCGUAGAGAUCAUGAGGAAGACCAGUGGCGAAGGCGGGUCUCUGGGACGGUACUGACGCUGGAGACGCGAAAGCGUGGGGAGCGAACAGG
rnacentral:rRNA from 1 species